rnacentral:rRNA from 1 species
UACGUAGGAGGCAAGCGUUGUCCGGAUUUACUGGGCGUAAAGAGCGUGUAGGCGGCAUGGCAAGUCUGCUGUGAAAGCUCUCGGCUUAACCGGGAGAGGUCGGUGGAAACUGCCAAGCUUGAGGACGGUAGAGGGGGGUGGAAUUCCCGGUGUAGUGGUGAAAUGCGUAGAUAUCGGGAGGAACACCAGUGGCGAAGGCGGCCCCCUGGGCCGCUCCUGACGCUGAGACGCGAAGGCCAGGGUAGCGAACGGG